rnacentral:rRNA from 1 species
AUUGAACGCUGGCGGCAGGCCUAACACAUGCAAGUCGAGCGGAUGAAGGGAGCUUGCUCCUUGAUUCAGCGGCGGACGGGUGAGUAAUGCCUAGGAAUCUGCCUGGUAGUGGGGGACAACGUUUCGAAAGGAACGCUAAUACCGCAUACGUCCUACGGGAGAAAGCGGGGGAUCUUCGGACCUCACGCUAACAGAUGAGCCUAGGUCGGAUUAGCUAGUAGGUGAGGUAAUGGCUCACCUAGGCGACGAUCCGUAACUGGUCUGAGAGGAUGAUCAGUCACACUGGAACUGAGACACGGACCAGACUCCUACGGGAGGCAGCAGUGGGGAAUAUUGGACAAUGGGCGAAAGCCUGAUCCAGCCAUGCCGCGUGUGUGAAGAAGGUCUUCGGAUUGUAAAGCACUUUAAGUUGGGAGGAAGGGUAUUCACCUAAUACGUGGGUACUUUGACGUUACCAACAGAAUAAGCACCGGCUAACUCUGUGCCAGCCGCCGCCGUAACAC